UAGGGAAUCUUCGGCAAUGGGCGAAAGCCUGACCGAGCAACGCCGCGUGAGCGAUGAAGGCCUUCGGGUCGUAAAGCUCUGUUGUUAGAGAAGAACAAGUACGAGAGUAACUGCUCGUACCUUGACGGUACCUAACCAGAAAGCCACGGCUAACUACGUGCCAGCAGCCGCGGUAAUACGUAGGUGGCAAGCGUUAUCCGGAAUUAUUGGGCGUAAAGCGCGCGCAGGCGGUCUCUUAAGUCUGAUGUGAAAGCCCACGGCUCAACCGUGGAGGGUCAUUGGAAACUGGGAGACUUGAGUGCAGGAGAGAAAAGUGGAAUUCCACGUGUAGCGGUGAAAUGCGUAGAGAUGUGGAGGAACACCAGUGGCGAAGGCGGCUUUUGGCCUGUAACUGACGCUGAGGCGCGAAAGCGUGGGGAGCAGACAGGAUUAGAUACCCUGGUAGUCCACGCCGUAAACGAUGAGUGCUAGGUGUU
rnacentral:rRNA from 1 species